rnacentral:lncRNA from 1 species
CCCAAGUAGCUGGGAUUACAAGCGCCUGCCAACACGCCCAGCUAAUUUUUGUAUUUUUAAUAGAGAUGGGGUUUCACCAUUUUGGCCAGGCUGGUCCUGAACUCCUGACCUCCUGAUCCACCUGCCUCGGCCUCCCAAAGUGCUGGGAUUACAGGCGUGAGCCACUGCGUCCGGCCUUGCCUCACCGUUAAAAGACUACAAUAUGACGUGAUACAUCAGCUUUUUCGAAGUCCAGUGUACGUCAGACCCUGAGGCCUGCAGUAUCUGGAAUGGUGUUGCUGGAUGUGCAAAACUGCCAGGCUCUGGCUUGUGGUGUUCUCAUCUACCAGAUCAUUCCUGGGAGGCCCAAUUUGGCCAGCUGGCUCACCUCUGCCGGUGGUAUUGCUAGCAUUGCACAUUGGAACUGCAGCUUGGGAAAGUGAUAGAAACCAAACACAUGGUGGGUACAAAGCAAGUUUGUUGUAUUUUAUCCACAUUAGUAUUUUGGAUGUUUCAAUAUUUAAACAUUUCAAAAAGCAAAAUCAAUGAUAAUACUUCUUGAAUGUGUUGUGAACAAUGCAAGCCUUUUAUUAAAAAUUAUGGAAUAUUCGAAAGAAAUGUUUUUCUUACAAGAGAGCAGAGAAUAAUUACUCAGGGUUCCUGUGUCAAAGCCUCUAGGGCCCCUUUACUGUCCAGAAUUCUUAGUAAGUGGAAAACCUUUCCCAAGCACAAUGAAGUCUCAACCCUGAUACGGGCAGGACAGCAAAAGACCUGUCUCCUCUUUCCAGAGCAAACCCCAGUGGUUGCACCUGUCCUCCCAUUACACUUUGGGGAUAAACCCUGGAGGCCAUAGUGUAGGGGACCAGUUUCAUGGGUCUUGUUGCCAAAGCUUACUUUUUUGAUCCUACUGCUAAAUUCUGACCCUUCCUCCAAUUGAUCUGCUUUCCAAAAAGAGCAUACCAACACCUGCACAAACCAUUUGAUGUGGUGCAGUAAGCUGUUUCAUCCAAGUGUUCCAAAGCCAUAGGAUGAGCAAGGGGGAAAAACUUAGACCUGUAUAGGAUCUUCCCCCAGGUAGUUACUCUUUCACAGGGGGUGCAUGGGAGACAGGCUGCUGUUGUGCCAUCCUUUCCAUUACAUAAUGAUAACAACUGUUACUUGGAAUGCUUUAAUGCUUGAUGUUAUUUAUGUUUAAAUAUUUGCUGUAUUCCUGGCUCUGUGCUAAAUGCUAUGCCUGCAUCUUAAAAAAUCCUUAAAAUAACUCAAGGUAGGUACCAUUGUUGCUUCCAUUCUCCAGAUGGGACACUAAGACUUUAAGAAGUUAAAUAGCUCACCUGAAAACACACAGCUAGUAAGUAACACAAUGGAGACUUGAACCCAAGUCUAUUCUACUCUAGACCAUGGACUCCAAGAUUAAUUAAUUAUGCAAAUAAGGAAUGUGGAGAGUUCAGCCUUGAGCAAAGGGAGAUUAGCUUGUUUUGCACCAACUCUUCUGCUGAGGAAAGGACAAAAGCCAGAAUAUACAUACCUAUUCAGGGAUCAGAGGGCUGUUGAGAAAGCAAGGGCUAAUAUUCGAGAGACCUACAUUUGAUACUGUUCGUUUCCCCCUCAAGGGACUUGCUAAUUCAAGGGCAGGGGCUGAGAAACUGAACAGAAUUUGUAGAAGACUAAUGCAGACCAAAAAUUAGAGUUGGGGUCCAAGUAGAAGCAGCCCUGGAAAACACCCCAGACUUUCUCGUGGGACCCCAAAGAGCUACUCUUUGAUUAAAGGUGAAUUGGUUAUGGGCCUGUCCUCACAAGGACUGAAGCCCAGCCUCAGAUCUAGUGGAUAGCCAGAAGCAAAAACAAAGCCCCUCUGAAGGAGGACAUGGUCUAAUUUCUCAAAUUUUCUCUAUUAAUUGUUUUCAAAGUCUGCUUAAGAAAUAGGAAUGCAAAAACACAAGAUUCGACCAACAAUGAGAAAGUGAACAAUAGAAACAGACCUCCAGGAAAUUCACGUAGUUAACAUUAUCUGACCGGUGUCUUACAAUAACUAUGAUUAAAAUGUUCAUGAAUUAAAUGACCAAAUGGAACAACUUCAGGAGAGAACUGGACACUAUGUUUAAAAUUCUAGAAUUGAAAAAUAAUAUAACAAUUUAAGAAAUCAGUAGAUGGCUCUGAUAGACACAACUUAAGAGAUAGGUAAUGAAAUGAAAGAUAAGAAAAUAUCCAGACUGGUGCUGGGGGUAAAUAGGAAGACAACUAUUCGAAGAGUUAAUGGUUAAGGUUGUUCCCAAAUUAAUGAAAGACAUUAAGCCACAUAAAUAAGAAAUGCUGUUGACCUCUAAGCAGGAUAAGUUACAAUGAAAGUUAUACUUAAUUACUUCAUAGUAAAACUACUGGAAAACAAAGACUAAUUUUAAAAGUAGCCAGAGGAAAAAUAUAUAUUACUUUCAAAGGAGCAACAGCAAGCCUUGAGAGGGAAUUUUCAGCAGAAGUAAUGAUAGUGGAAAAUGGAAUGGUGUUUUCAAAGAGCUUCAAGAAAAUAAUAGUCAACCUAGAAGACUAUGAGGCAAAAAUAUCCUUCCAAAGACACGUCCAGACAAAGGAAAAUAGAAUUUGCCACCAAUGAAAAGUACCAAAAGUAUGAAAGGAAAGUACUAAAGGGUGUUGUUGGAGCAGAAGGAAAAUGAUCACUGACCACAGCUGGAGGUGCAGAAAGGCAUUGAAAGGCAAUGGAAAGGGUAAGUAUGUGUAUAAAACUAAAUAAAUAUUGAAUGUGUGAAACAACUUUUUACUUUCUGGGGUCUUAAAUAUAUAAAGAACUAAAAUACAUCACCAAGAGAAGCACGUUAAGUGUGGAGGGAGGUAAAUGUAGGGGUCCCCAACAUUUCUGGCACCAGAGACCAGUUUUGUGGAAGAUAAUUUUUUCCCAGACAGUGGGUGGAGGGGUGGAGGGAUUGGGAGCAUGGUGUUGGGAUGACACUGUCCCACCUUAAAUCAUCAGGCAUUAGAUUCUCAUAAGGAGUGCACAACCUAGAUCCCUCACAUGCACAGUUCACAAUAGGGUUAGCGCUCCUAUGAGAAUCUAAUGCUGCUGUUGGUCUGACAGGAGGUGGAGCUCAGGCGGUAAUGCUUGCUGGCUUGCCACCCAUCUCUUGCUGUGCAGCCCAGUUCCUGACAGGCCACUGACCAGUACUGGUUCACAGCCUGGGGACUGUGGACCCCUGGGUAAAUGGAAUUAAAGUAUUCUGAAGUCCUUGAAUUGUCUUGAAAGUGAAAAUGGUGGAGGCACUGAUUUAUAUUAGAAAUUAAUAAAUCAGGGGUACAUGUUUCAGUUUCUACGGUAUUUUGUAAAAGAAUAAGAGUAUGUAAAACUAACAAGAUAACAGAAGGAGAAUAUGAAAUAAAAUAAUCCAAAGGAAGGCAAAAAGAAAAAAAGGCGCAUAGAACAGAUGGGAACAAAUAGAAAACAAACACCCACAUGCAUCAAUCUCUACAUCAAGCAUAUGUGGACUAAAUAUUCCAAUUCAAAGGCAAUAUUAUUAUCACCCUGGAUAAAGAACAAAUAUAAUUCUCUGAGACUUAAAAACAACAUACCUUAAACAAGGAUACAGAAAGAUGGAAAGUAAAAGGAUGGAAAAAGGACUAUCAUGCAAGUAUUAACCAAAAGGAAGCUGGUGUAUUUAGUACACGAAGUGAACUUUCAGGUAUUACCAGAGUAUGAAGGAUAUUUCAUAAUGAUAAAGGGCUUGCUUUACCAGUACUAUACCGAUGGCUGAGGUAUUUGGGCUGUCUGUGAGGCUCAGAUGGGCUGCCUGUGGCCCUGCCUCACCUUGGAGAUGGCCCAGGAAGCUAACUGAGACUUGGAGUUGGUCGAAGAGGAGCCAGACUCUAAAUAUUUGAAGAUUGUGUGCGUAUGUGUGUGUGUGUUUAGGGGAAAACAUGAGAGGUAGAGUACUAUUCAAAAGGACAAGAAGUGGAACAUUUUCUUUUAUAAAUCAAAUAAAUGGUGGCUCUGAGCCUUCCCCCACCUCCUGCCUUUUUUGGGUCCAGAUUGCUAAGAAAUGUUAUUAAUGAUAGCUCACACUUACGACAUUAUUGCCUUCUAAGUGCUUUGUAGGUAUUAAUUUAUUUAAUCCUCACAACAGCCUUAGGAGACAGGCAUCAUCACUACCAUCGCCAUUUUACAGAUGGAAAAACCAGCAACCAUCAGAGCUGGUAUUCAAAAUAAGCCAAUUCAGAUUCCGAGUCCCGGCUCCUAACCAUGGAGUGGCCUCAGGGUUUUAUAGUUUGUCCGGCUCUUUGGAUGAACAUCACACCUCAUGGAGGAGAGUCCCUUCCAUUUUAACGGCUCCAGGUUGUCAUGGAAAUCCUCUGUAUACAAGAGGGUAAGGAGGAGGAUGAGAAGCAAUACAUGCUUAUUGGGACUUUCUAUCAUCCCAGGACUUAUCCAGGUACAUUAUAACAAUGUUGAAUACAGUAUUAGUCCCAUUUUAACUAUGAGGAAAAUAAGGUUUGGACUGUCAGAGACAGAGCAAGACACAUUGGUAAGGGCAGACAAGGGAUUCAUCUGACUCCAAUGCCUCUUCCUUGGUAAACCAGACUGGCUUGUCACACCGUGAAAUUAGAGUCAACUUGUUAAAUCUUGACAGGUUGCUAAAUUAUUAAUUACACCCCCAGGAGCUGUGACUGGAGCAGCAGGGAUGCUAUGGCUGCACUGUACUAUUUUUAGCACUAGAUGGUGCUGUAACACUGCACAUCUCUUCCGCGGUGGCCCUUGGAGGAAGGUUACUUCAGGGCUUGGAGACCCUGGAGGGAAGGAUGCUACCUUACCAGAGCGUGAAAAAAACAUGGAAGACAGGAUACUCUCGGGCCCUGAGAAAGCUGGAGACUGUAGCCACCAGGUGGCUCCAGGAUGUGCAGUACUGGCGUCUGGGUUUUGCUCACACAACCGUGAACUCCUGGUCCCACCGAGCCCUAGCGAGUGGAUUGGAGCACACACCCACCCACCUCCUCAGAGCUCCUACGAGUAGAGGAGGUACCUAGGCACGUGGGAGCUUGGCGCCUUGUUAGGUGCUCAGGAUACUGGUUGUCCGGAAUCCCAGUGAGGUGCAGUCCCGCCCUUGUGCCACUUUCCCAUGCGCUUCCUGCCCCUCUGGGGGCUGCAGAGGCUGCAGAGUUGUCCAGCUUGAGAAACUGUAUCAAGGUUGCUCCCUGACGGCCUGGCAACUCGCUGAAGAGCUGCCUUCAGUUCAGAACAGUUUUAGGGAGAUUGUCAUAAACUCAAUGAGUUUAAAUGAUUUUACACUGACUCUUCAAAAAUGUCAAGGUCAUGAAAGACAAAGGCCGAGGAACUGCCCCAGACUGGAGGAGGCGGGAGACAUGGCAGCUGUGAAUGCACCGUGGGUCCUGAACCAGAAAAAGGAGCUCAGUGGGACGAUUGGUAACUUUUUGAUGCAAUCUGUCGAUUUUGCAUAUAGAAGACGGUAAUUUUAAAAACAGUGAAAGAAGAAAUGUAUCUGAGAAUUCAAUCAGUCAAUAGACUUUAGACAUCUGAAAAGAAAACACAAGAGGUUCGGUUGGUGCAAUGUUCCUUUCUUCCCAGGACUUUCUGGUCUUCAAGGCUUUCUCAUGAGACAGAAGACUGAUGGAUGUAGAAGUUUCUAAGAGGACAGUUACGCUGCCAUGUUUUGAAGCAGGAAGACGUUACCACUUCUCAAAGGUCUUUAAUUGCCUGACCACUGCUUCUCUUUGGAAGGCUGUCAGGGUGAUGGAAUCUCAGAUCACAGCACAGAUAAAAUGGACAAAGAAAGAAAGAUACAAGAAGGAUGUAAAAAUGUCCAUAAUGAACUCAUGUAUCUUGCGGAAACCUCUAAUCUAAUGAGAAUGGAUUUUGUUGAGAAGAUUGUACACCAACAAUUAAUUAUUCAUGGCAGAGA